GCGAGCACCACCAGGUCCAUGGAGACAGAGAGCAGGCCUGGGCUGUUUCACCAUAACCAGCCAUUCAGCCAGAUUUACAAGCCUUUCACAUGGCAGUCAGAGCCGAGGAGACUGUGGGGUUAGACUGCAUCAGGCGCAGCUGAGAAGCAGUGUUGUCAAACCCCUAGAUAGAAGCUGAACCCCCCAGAUGGUUGAACCCCCCUCCCUGCGUGGAGCCAGCUGACUUCCCUCCUCAGCUGAACCUCCUUGUUGUUCUAAUUAACAGAAACCAAGAUGUCCGACUCAAAACCCUGGAAAACAAACAGUUUGUAAGUCUGUAAGACACCAGUACUCUCGUUCCAAAAGCUUCCUGGAGCUGUACAGAACUCUGUGCUUCCUCUCAGCGUCCUCUCUCCUUCUGGAAACGUCCGCAGAAAGACAGGUGGCGAGGGGUCAGCGCUGCAGGACGGAUCCUCAUGCAUUCCCACCAGGAUUGGAUCCCCCUCCCAGGCAGCCGCACGAGUGUCCGUCCAAAGCCACAGCGACAUUCCACUCCCUCAGUGGCUGUGAGCGAGUCACCACCGUCCCUCUGACCCGUCCGUUUUCCAUCCCAUCAGGAGUCUGAGCGACCAGGGGUUAAGGACCACAGAGUAAAUGUUGGCAAUAAUGCUAUUUUAACAAUACUUGGCAUCUCUGUCACGCAUGUCUUUCUGUCGCUGUAAACGCCCAACCUCCCCCGGCUGGGAAUCAAUACUUGUCUUAUCUUAUCUUAAAAAACAAAUGAUGUCCCAGGGGGUAUUUAUGAGGGAGAGGGGGAGGCGUGUUCGAAAGGAGAGAGUGGGGUAGUGGUGGUUAUGCUGGGUGGUGUUGGUGGGGCCGGUGGUGCUGGAGAAUCGUGGCCUCAGUUUACCCGGAAGGAGCGCGGCGUCUGGCCCCAGCGCGUGGUUAUUCCUGGUCCCGCGGUGGGGGAGGAAGAGGAGGAGGUGGCAAGGAGGUCCUGAGGGCUGACGUCGGAGAGCGUCUGGCAUGUAGGGCGAGGAGCUGGUGGCUAGAGAGGCCAGGGAACAGGGAGGCAUGCACUGUGGCUUACAGUGCAGCUGGAGGACAGGAGGAGAGGAGAGGAGAGGGGAG
ensembl:lncRNA